rnacentral:lncRNA from 1 species
AAUAAAUAAAUAAAUAAAAUAUAACAGAAAAAUCUUGGACUUGGACCUCUCUCUUUUGAGCCCACAAAGUCAUAAAAAUUAGGUUAUAAAUUCUAGACUUCCAUCUCCCAAAAAACCCUGGGGAAAAAGAUAGUGAGAGAAGAGCUAACAGAGUUCAGAGCAACCUCCAGAGACUGAAAGGAACUCAUCUGCAAAUAGCCAAUUCCAUCUCAUAUAAACCCUCAGAUUGCUUUGCAAACCCGACCGGGUGCAAUUCAAUUUCAUUCGAUCUCUCCAGUCAGGUUUG